rnacentral:rRNA from 1 species
GAUGAACGCUGGCGGCGUGCCUAAUACAUGCAAGUCGAGCGAAUGGAUUGAGAGCUUGCUCUUAUGAAGUUAGCGGCGGACGGGUGAGUAACACGUGGGUAACCUGCCCAUAAGACUGGGAUAACUCCGGGAAACCGGGGCUAAUACCGGAUAACAUUUUGAACCGCAUGGUUCGAAAUUGAAAGGCGGCUUCGGCUGUCACUUAUGGAUGGACCCGCGUCGCAUUAGCUAGUUGGUGAGGUAACGGCUCACCAAGGCAACGAUGCGUAGCCGACCUGAGAGGGUGCGCGGCCACACUGGGACUGAGACACGGCCCAGGCUCCUACGGGAGGCAGCAGUAGGGAAUCUUCCGCAAUGGACGAAAGUCUGACGGAGCAACGCCGCGUGAGUGAUGAAGGCUUUCGGGUCGUAAAACUCUGUUGUUAGGGAAGAACAAGUGCUAGUUGAAUAAGCUGGCACCUUGACGGUACCUAACCAGAAAGCCACGGCUAACUACGUGCCAGCCGCCGCGGUAACAC